ensembl:lncRNA
CAGCCGGGGGCUGUCAUGUGGCCAGAUGGCGCUGCUGGUGCCGCCUAACAGAUCCAGCCUCGGGACGGGGGGCCUGAGGGACACAGCAGCAUCCUCAGGGGAUGCACGCAGCACAGGAAGGGCCCAGAUCCACAUACCGCAGGUACAGACCUGCUUCCGUGCCAGCCUUGGGAAGUAUGCGUGUGGCUUUUCACAGAAUCACAGAAUCACGAAGGUUGGAAAAGACCUCUAAGAUGAUCUGGUCCAACCACCAACGCGUCCCCACCAUGCCCACUGACCGCGUCCCUCAGUGCCACGUCGAUGCAUUUCUUGAACACCUCCAGGGACGGUGAUUCCAUAACCCGGAUUUCCCCACGUAAGCUACAGAAUUUGCUGGAAAUUGCUUCACUUUUUGCAAGCUCUGAGGCUCAGCCUUAGGGCUGGGAUGCGUGUUUGCUCUGCCGCCUGGGACAAGAAAGGAAACAUCUGUAGGCCUCAUGGUCUCACUCGAGAAGACACACCUGGGAGAACUGCAGCCACUGCUUCCCAUGGGGACAGGUGUGGCGGCGGGGUGAUGCUAAGGAGCUGCCUUCCAAAGAGGCUGGGAUGGAUUUCCUCUCUCUGUUCCCCUGUUUCCAUGGGAACAGCAGCACGCAGGAACAGCCUGCUCUCAAUUUCACUGCCUCUUUCUCAGGCACCCCCUUCCCAAUCCUGCAGGCAGCUUUUGGCUCCCAAAGGGUGUCAGAGCCAUCCUCCGUGCUGAUUCCUGUGCUGCUAAGGAGAACUCAGUGUGGUGUGCACCGUGGCACGACCCAUUCCAGCCAAGGUGUCUGCAGCAGCACUGAACACUAUUACACGCACACUAGCAGACAUCUGCAGAUCAUCUGCAUGCAUAUAUGCACUUCUGCUGUAUACGGUGAUGGGGACUCCUGGAGGAAGUGACAUCAGCUGGACCAACAGGAGUGUGUGAGAUGAUUGUCCUCCAGGAACAGUUGUUCUCUGUUCACUGUUGUUCUCCCAGAUGUGGGAAAGUCACCCAAAAAGGGUGGAUGGAGGAAAAAAAGAGUGAUACAAGUCUAUAUCUUUGUAUUCAGAUCACGGUGGCUUUUACUCCAGUUAAUUUGUCCAUUCGCUGUUGAAUUGGUGGUAAAUUUUGACUCUGACAUUCUGCUUGUACGCUGGCAAGGAGUUCCCAACAGCACCACGGACUGCAGGGAGCUGCUUGCUGUGGUUUGCCUAGGAUUAAACCUUGGGAUGGCGGCUGCCACCAACCCUAUGGAGCCAUCCAUGCGAUACAUCUCCUAUCAGUGGGUUCUGCAGCUACCAGUGAUGCAGAAGGAUGCUUUUUUUUUUCGUAUUGAAUGUCUUGGAUUCUGGCCCUGGCAGAACAGCCUCUGCAGCUCAGAGACAACACUGCUAAGCACAGCCCCAGCUUUGCUAUUUCUGAGUCGGGAUGUCACAAAGAAGUUCUGUGCCCUGCUCUGUCUCAACUGAAAUGUGUGAGCUCUCAGCCAUCGAAAGAGGCACAUGGCAGGUUUCUGUGCUCAGAAGGGAAUGCUAUGUGCUGCAAAGAGCACAGGGUUCCCCCAGAGAAUAAGGCGAUAUGAUGUGUAGGUCCUUUCCACCCCGCUCACCUUCCUGCAGGCUGGCAGUCAGCUGCAUAUGAAGGAGGGUGCCUGGUUGAAAGGGAGGGUAGGAGGGAUAUUACCUUCUUCCCAGGUUACUCCUUCUGUGCACCCUUUCCUCUGAAGUGAAAACGCUGGGGGUUUGGGGAUGCUCCAGCAGAAGGUGGUGUUGGAGAGUAGUGCAUUUCUUGUAUAGGGACAUUUCUGGUUGUUGGGAGAAGCAGGAAAUCUCUCAACAAGACAUGGCAACUGAAGCAAUAUCCCUAGUGGGACACUGGCAGGUUCAUUCUCCGGAUACCCCAUAUCUGUCACUCUGCAGAGACAUUCCUAUCUGUUCCAGGCAGAUAUAAAGCUCUGGGUCAUACUGGCAGCGUUCUCCAUUCAUUUUCCAUAACAUGUCAAGCCAGAAAACUUCUCACACCUCCAUCUCUGGCACUGCCAGGAAAAAGGGAGCAUGGGUGCGGGGACGUGCUUUUUGCUCCAGUUAAAUGCAGCCCUUUGCUGCUGCUCUUCAGCCUUACGGACAGCUCUGCAGCCAUUCACCUCUUCAAGCAUUGCGUUCCCAGGAGAUGUGUGCCAUCACUGAGAUUUCCCUUGGUCACAGCCAGGCUGCUGGGAGGAGGAGAGCAUAUUUCUACCUUUUUCACCUCUUUUUUCUUUUGCUGUGGAGAGGAAACCCACUGAAGCCUGCAGCGCUCUUUGCAGCUGGCCGAACUGCCAACCUGUGGGUGAUGAACCAGCUUGGAAGGUCUUUUAAAACAGCAGUUAGGUGCAGUUGUUUGACAUGUUGUGAGGUCCUGCUGCUUGUGCUUUGUGGUACCUUUCACACCUGGGAAAUCUCUGACGCCUGCUCCCAUCCUUCCAUUCCCAGCGAGCUGCCUGAGCUCAGUUUGUUUUCUUUUCACUCGGCCCCAAGAGAGGCUGUUUCUCCAUCACUGCAAUUAUUUGUGAGGCUCCACAGAGGUUUCUGGCACAGACAAGUGGCUUUCCUCUCUGCAGCAGCCCAGCGGGUGAUCUCACAUCCCCCUCGAGCAAUGAGCCCACCUGGGCCGGCCCCUCUGUCCUGGCGAGUGGCACCGCUGUGACCUGUGCUCGGCCCCUGCAUGCUGCAUGUUGGGAUGCCAGCCUUCCCUUACCUCCCAGGCCAGCUCUUCCUCCUCUCCUAACCCCUUCCUGGGCUCCUCGCUUGCAGUGUUGUGGCUCGCCCAAGUCUAUUCCCAGCUUACAGUGAUGCGGGCAUGGAGAGACACAAGCCCUAAUGCAGCCUGGCAGCUCGGCGCAUUUGCUCUCCGGAGAGCAGCGCCGAGCUGCAUGAGUAAUAGCUCUGGCAGCGCCGUGCAGCUCGCCGGGAGUGGGACAGCCACCUGCAGCAGUGCUGGGGGAGGUCUGG